CGCGGGGAGAACGAAGGGAGGGGCGCGCGGACGCGCGGUGAGGGGCAAGGAGGUGCGAGACCAGGCAGAAGUCUUAGAAGUCAUCUUGGAUAUUUCCCUCUUCCUUGUUCACUGUUUCCAGAAGUGAGCAGACAGACCUGGGUUCACUCCUCAACUCUGCCACAAGCCAGCUGUGGACUAACUUAAUGAAGAGCCAAAUUCAAGCUGCUAGAAAGCUGGUCCAAAUAUCAGACAGGUUACAGCACUAGGAGCGGUACUGUACAAUUGUAGGAGGCUCUGGAAAGACAUUACAAGAGAAAGGGGCUUCCCGUCCUGGUUCUGGUGUGCUGGCUCGACAAGCUUAGCAUGCAGCUCUCCAGGAGGCAGCAGCAGAUCUCCCUGGCAGCAGUUUCUUUCUGCACCCUCUUGGGCAGGUUCAGAGCAGAGUGCCACUAGUGAGAUACUUCACAGUGAAUGACUUUCCCUUGCACUCUGGAGAAAAGACUUUCGGCAAGUUCCAUUACCGUGGCACAAUAGAGACUUCUCUGCUGUGCAGUGAGCCAUGGCUGUGCACUGUAAAGGAGGCUGCUCAUCAUCAGGUGGACACUCCAUGGAUAUAAUUCAGUCUCUUACCCUAGUCACCCCAGUGCUUGCUCAGUGAGCCAUAAACAAAGUGGCCACAGUGGUAGGGAUGGAGGCUAUGCAUGGGGUUCAGAAACAUGGACUUCCCCUACUCAGUGUUGAUUUGUCUAACAUUACUGCUGAGUAGCGAAUCUGUCAACAGAAGAGGUCAACACUAGGCCCCUUAUAUGGCACCACUCUCCACGGGGACCAACCAGCCACCUGGUGGCAGAUUGAUUACACUGGACCUAUUUCUUCACAGAGGAGGCAGAGAUUCAUCCUCACUGGAAUAUGCAUGUUUUCUGAAUGUGGAGUUGCCUUCUCUCAACAUAAUACUUCAGCCAGCUGUACCAUCUGUGUACUUAUGGAAUGCUUUAUCCAUCAUCAUGGUAUUCUGCACGGCAUUACUUCUCAUCCAGGAGCCCAUUUCACAGCUAAGGAAAUACAGCAUGGGGCUUAUGCUAAUGGAAUCAACUGGCCUUAACCCUCAUAUUCCAUCACCUAGGAGCAGAUGGCUAAUUGAGAGUUGGAGUGGCUUAUUGAAGACUCAUUUGUGGUGCCAUUUGGGAGACAAUACCCCAAAACAAUGUGAUUCUGUCUCACAGGAUACAGUGUAAGCUUCGAAUCAGCAACUGUUACAGGGUGUUCUCGCUCCCAUAGCCAGAACACAUGGAUCUGAGCAUCAAGGGGUAGAAGUGAGAGUGGCCCUUCUCACUCUUAAACUCAGUAACCCAUUUGCAGGAUUAUUUUUCCUGCCCCAGAAACAUUGAGCAAUGCUGUUAUGAAAGUCAUAGUCUCCAAGGGAGGAAUGCUUCCAUUAGCAGACACAGUGGUUCAAUUGAAUUGGAAAGUGAGAAUGCCUCCUGGACAUUCUGGACUUCUUAUAUCAUUGAACCAACUGGCCAAAAAAAAAAAAAAAAGUCACUCUAGGUGAGGUGAACUCGAGUUGCUGCUAUAAAUGCAGACAAGAAGGACUAUGAAACCCAGGGAGUUACUUGGAGGUGCCUAGGAGUGAAGGUUUUGGUCACUCCAGGUGAAUUUCGGGCUGAGGAUGGGGGAAAUGUGGACUGGGGAGUGGAAGAAGGAAGAUGUAGAUACCAUUGACAGCCUCACAGCAAAUCGCAGAAACCAUGACAGCAGGAGCUUUGUGUAUUCUCUGUUAUACAUGCGUGUUUAUUUUAUAUGCUAAACAGUUUCUUCUAUCUCCUUCCCGUUGUUAUUUUAUGUACCUAGAGUUGAAAGUUAACUUCACAAUGUAUUCAUUAGGUAACAGAAUAUUUAGUGGGACUUGGCCUGAAUUUGAGGAGUAGUUAAGAUCACCAGUGAUGGAUACAAUGACUUUUGGCACUGUGUCUCUCCGUAUUUUGAGGAAAAGGAAAAUAGUUGUAUUUUGUUACAAGAAAAACUGGAGUUGUUUUAUUGAUGUACAGAAGUUCAAAAAUGUAUAGAAGAGUGCACAUGGAAGCUGAAUAGCCACAGAGCUACCCUCAUUUGUAUUGCUGUGCUUUUGCUUAAGCUAUUCUUGAGUUUUAAAUGGCUCUUCUUAUUCUCUCAAAUUUGAGGCCCAGCUUGUUUCACCAUGAAGUGAACCAAUUACUUUACCCUAUACUGAUUUCCUCCCCUCAUGUCCCUGAAGAACUUGACUACAUCACACAUUUAGCACCUAAGUAUACUCUGAAUGUAAUUUUUCUCUAAUUAUUUGAUGUGUUAUACUGCCUUUCCACCAGCCCCAGCCCACCAGAUCCGAAGCUCUUUAGGACUAUGUCUCUUUUUCUUUCUUUUCGUUAUCCAUCAAAAACACACAUAUGAAUACACACUCAAUGAAUACGUCUUAAUUUAAUAGCUGUCCUCACUCACUUGCUGCACUGGUUAAUCUGCUUCUUGCUCCAAAUUCACUUUUAGCUAAUACAGUGUUUCCCAACCUAAUUUGACUAGAGAGUACUUUUGACAUUAAUAUACAAUGUCUCAAAACCA